AUGGCUCAGAACGAACGCUGGCGGCAGGCCUAAAACAUGCAAGUUGAACGGCCAUAGCAAUAUGGCAGUAGCGCAAGGGUGAGUAAUGUAUGGGAACGUAUCUUUUGGUGGGGAAUAUUCUUUGGAAACGAAGAGCAAUACCGCAUAAGCCCUACGGGGGAAAGAUUUAUCGCCGAUUGAGCGGCCCAUAUUGGAUUAGCUAGUUGGUUAGGUAACGGCUGACCAAGGCUGUGAUCCAUAGCUGGUCCGAGAGGACGAUCAGCCACACUGGGACUGAGACACGGCCCAGACUCCUACGGGAGGCAGCAGUUAGGAAUAUUGGACAAUGGGGGCAACCCUGAUCCCAGCCAUGCCGCGUGAGUGUUAAGGCCUUCGGGUUGUAAAGCUCUUUUGUAUGGGAAAAUGAUGAUGGUACCAUAAGAAUAAGCACCGGCUAACUUCGUGCCAGCAGCCGC
rnacentral:rRNA from 1 species